ensembl:lncRNA
GGGAAAAAGUACCAAGUGAAAUGUGCUACUGAAGCUUCUAUUGAACGAAAGCCACUUGCUCCUGCAGAUAAUUUACCACCCAAGGGGGAAGUAUCUUUGAAGGCAUGGGAGGCUAUCAUAAAGACUGAGAAAGAUUUGGCUGCACAAGUGGCUCAGCUGGUAAAGAAUCCACCUACAAUGCGGGAGACCUGGAUUCGAUCCCUGGGUUGGGAAUAUCCCCUGGAGAAGGGAAAGGCUACUCACUCCAGUGUUCUGGCCUGGAGAAUUCCGUGGACUGUAUAGUACAUGGGGUCGCAAAGAGUCGGACACAGCUGAGCAACUUUCACUUUCAUAGCGCAACUGCUAGAAGUAGAAAGAAAGAACUGACAGGAGAAAUUUUAAAAUUUACGGUUAGAGAGUUCAACAGUUUUGGGGUUGGUUUUUUUUUGUUUGUUUUGUUUUGUUUUUUGCGAGGGGUAGGGGGUUGCUGCAUUAAGUGCUUGUGGAAUCUUAGUUCCCCUGACCAGGUAUCAAAUCUGAGCUCUUAGCAGUGAAAGCACAGAAUCUUAACCAAUGGACCACCAGAGAAUUUCUGAGACUUUAACAUUUUAAUUACCAGAACUACACAGAAGAUUAGUAAUGUUAUAGGAGACCUGCAACCCUAUCAAUCGACUUGGCCCUACUGACAUUUACAAAAAAAAAUUUAUCAAAUGAUAGAAUAUAUUCAAAUUUAAUAUUUUCCUUAGACUUGACUUAUCAAAGUCUAAUAUUAGAAUCUUUACUACCUCCCCGAUAAAGAAUCUUUGACAGUUUAAUUCCUCCUAACUUUCUUCCAUCUUAUGUUAUUCUUGAGGGUUUUAAUUCCGUAUAUAUUUUAGACUCAUGAAACACUGUUAUUGUUUUACAGUGAUGAUUUACCUUUCUGAUGCAUUUAUAUUUUUUAUUGUUCUUUAUUCUUUCCUACAUCUCUGAGAGGCCAUUUGACACCAUUUUCUUUUUGCCUAAAGAACACCCUUUAGUGUUUCCUUUAGUGCCAGAUUGGUGAUGACAUAAAUCAAUUAUCAUUUCUUAGACACAUAAAAUGGCUUUAAUGCACCAUCAUUCCUAAAAAGUAUUUUCACUGUGGUGGCCAUCAGUUAUUUUGUUUCAGCAGUUUAAUUAUCUCUAUUGUCUU